rnacentral:rRNA from 1 species
UGGGGAAUCUUGCGCAAUGGGCGAAAGCCUGACGCAGCCAUGCCGCGUGAAUGAUGAAGGUCUUAGGAUUGUAAAAUUCUUUCACCGGGGACGAUAAUGACGGUACCCGGAGAAGAAGCCCCGGCUAACUUCGUGCCAGCAGCCGCGGUAAUACGAAGGGGGCUAGCGUUGCUCGGAAUUACUGGGCGUAAAGGGAGCGUAGGCGGACAUUUAAGUCAGGGGUGAAAUCCCGGGGCUCAACCUCGGAAUUGCCUUUGAUACUGGGUGUCUUGAGUAUGAGAGAGGUGUGUGGAACUCCGAGUGUAGAAGUGAAAUUCGUAGAUAUUCGGAAGAACACCAGUGGCGAAGGCGACACACUGGCUCAUUACUGACGCUGAGGCUCGAAAGCGUGGGGAGCAAACAGG